rnacentral:lncRNA from 1 species
GAUGGUGGGAUUGAAUUUUCCUUUUUUAUUUUUUCCUGGCAACCUCUUCAUAGUCAAAGAUCUGUCUCACCAUGGAUGAAGCUGUGGCCGAACCCAUCCAUCCCAACACCAGAACCUGCGGCCAAACUGGCCCCAAACGGUGCCGAACCCCUUCGGUCUAUCGAAUCCAUAGGCGGACUCGGCUUGGGGAGGCGCCGAAGCCAUCUUGGUGGUCACGUCCCUUGCCAGUCUUUGAACCAUCUGCAAGCAGAAUAGGACCUGGAUCCAAGAAUAAGAGAUGACUUAUCCCGAAGUCCUCCAAAAUUGAGGGCUACA